AGCCAAUGCAGUCCAGUCUAAUCCAGUUGUAGCCAGUCUAACACUUGCAUAUAUACAAUGUACCCGGUACAAUCAGCUGAUGAGUAGGGGGCUUCAACAUAUAAUUAUACUUGUGUACAUACUGGAAGGUGGAAAGCACCUGUACAGCUCAAAUUUACAUGCUGUACAUGUGGAAAUGUACCUUAAUUACUCGCCAUAAAAGGCUUGUGUAAAGGUGCGACAGCUAGUGUCACAGCCAGGUUCUUUUUGGCACAGUUGAUCCAUGUGGAAAAACACCACAAGCUUGGGCUACACAACGACUGCUCUGGAUCUGGUUGAAGAGAAAAGCAGCCUCAGCAGCAAGGAUACCAGUGGAGAGAGACCCAGAGCAUCAUGAUCAUGAUGAUGUUUAUCAUCAGGGGCAGGAUGAUAAUCAGCCUGGCCACCCUCUGGAAUUUCCUCACCUGGCACCUGGGGGCCUCCGCCCACUUCUGUGGCAAGUAGUGGCUGAGAAUCCACAUGCUGAUUGGCGGGAAUACGUUCCUGCUUGGUGUUGUGUGGGCUGGGAGCGAUUGAAGAAGACUUCUGUUCAGUACUGCUCAACAUCACCAUGGUCAAAUUUGCAUUUCUGAUGUGCGUGUACCCUCUGGGUUUAUGAUGUGACAUCAGUGUGGACCCCGCCUUGCCCUCCUUCCACCGUGUCUUUGUAGAGUUUGUCGUCUUCCUCAUCUUUGAGGAGAUGAGUUUCUCAACUUCUUUCACAGGUUACUUGCCACCUCCGCCUCUAGCACUUCAGCAAGCAACACCAUGAGUGGACUGCACCCUUCGGUAUCCUGGCCCCUAUGCCCACCAAGUGGUGCACGUCCUUGCCAACCUCAGCCUGCCCACCCUCAUCGGACCGCUGCUCAUGUCCUCCCACAUCGCCGUGGUCUGGGUGACCAUGGCCCUGACCUCAGCAGUCAUCUCCCACUGCCGGCUACCCCCUGCCGCACGACUUCCACCACUUGAAGUGAGUUGGCUAGGAUUCAAGACAUUUAUAUGCUGUGUGUAAUAGAAUAGAAUGGUGGGAAUGAUUUGCCUGGUGUUAUUGUAUGUUGAUGGUAGGGUGUGUUAUAAAAUCUAGGGAUCUAGGGAGGAGUCUGGCUCAGCGGGUAUAAGGUGUGUGACUCAGGACCAGAGGGCCAUGAGUUUGAAUUCAGCUGCUCACCAUAGGCUGUGACUAUGUGAACAAGCCAAUUCACUUCUUGCCCGGGCUCUCCCUCUUAGGCAGAAUAUAGAGUACCCAAAUGAAUGUGUGGGUUUACGCGCUGCAUGGU